rnacentral:misc_RNA from 1 species
AGCAAGACCAAGAAUUGAUGUAAAAUCAUCUCGCUGGGCUGUCAAUUGCUCAAUCGUUUCCCCUUCCACAAUCACGUCAGUAUGCGGAAAAUUUUCAACAUAUUGAGAGGUCAAAUUUAAUCUCCGGGCAAAACGUCUUUCCAAGACCAUGGCUACAGACUGAGCCACAAUAGCCCCUCGAGCUACAGUUCUCUCAAAUGUUUGGGAAGCUUCAAGGGCAAGACAUUGAAUUGAUAACAUAUCAAUGAGUAUAUAAAUAUCGGAAAAAUGAUGAUUGGAAAGGAAAGCUUGCUCAUCCACUUCACGUGGUCUUUCAGAAGUAUGACAACUUUCACCAAAU